AUUGAACGCUGGCGGCAGGCCUAACACAUGCAAGUCGAACGGUAACAGAAAGCAGCUUGCUGCUUUGCUGACGAGUGGCGGACGGGUGAGUAAUGUCUGGGAAACUGCCUGAUGGAGGGGGAUAACUACUGGAAACGGUAGCUAAUACCGCAUAACGUCGCAAGACCAAAGAGGGGGACCUUCGGGCCUCUUGCCAUCGGAUGUGCCCAGAUGGGAUUAGCUAGUAGGUGGGGUAACGGCUCACCUAGGCGACGAUCCCUAGCUGGUCUGAGAGGAUGACCAGCCACACUGGAACUGAGACACGGUCCAGACUCCUACGGGAGGCAGCAGUGGGGAAUAUUGCACAAUGGGCGCAAGCCUGAUGCAGCCAUGCCGCGUGUAUGAAGAAGGCCUUCGGGUUGUAAAGUACUUUCAGCGAGGAGGAAGGUGUUGAGGUUAAUAACCUCAGCAAUUGACGUUACUCGCAGAAGAAGCACCGGCUAACUCCGUGCCAGCAGCCGCCGUAA
rnacentral:rRNA from 1 species